GAUGAACGCUAGCGGCAGGCCUAAUACAUGCAAGUCGAACGGUGUCUUCGGACAUAGUGGCGCACGGGUGCGUAACACGUAUGCAACCUACCUUACAUUGGGGGAUAGCCUUUCGAAAGGGAGAUUAAUACCGCAUAAGACAGUAGCUGGGCAUCCAGCAGCUGUUAAAGAUUUAUCGAUGUAAGCUGGGCAUGCUUCCAAUUAGCUAGUUGGUGAGGUAACGGCCCACCAAGGGAAUGCUUGGUAGGGGAACUGAGAGGUCAAUCCCCCACCCUGGCACUGAGAUACGGGCCAGACUCCGACGGGCGGCAGCAGUAAGGAAUAUUGGGAAAUGGACGCAAGUCUGACCCAGCCAUGCCGCGUGCAGGAUGAAGGCGUUAUGCGUUGUAAACUGCUUUUAUACAGGAAGAAACGACUCUUGCGAGAGGCAUUGACGGUACUGUAUGAAUAAGCACCGGCUAACUCCGUGCCAGCCGCCGCCGUAAUAC
rnacentral:rRNA from 1 species